GACGAACGCUGGCGGCGUGCCUAAUACAUGCAAGUUGAACGCAACAAAGACACCAGAGCUUGCUCUACCGUUUUUGUUGAGUAGCGAACGGGUGAGUAACGCGUGGGUAACCUGCCUUAUAGCGGGGGAUAACUAUUGGAAACGAUAGCUAAUACCGCAUAACAAUAGAGAUUGCAUAAUCUUUAUUUGAAAGUGCCAACUGGUACACUAUGAGAUGGACCCGCGUUGUAUUAGCUAGUUGGUAGUGUAAUGGACUACCAAGGCGAUGAUACAUAGCCGACCUGAGAGGGUGAUCGGCCACAUUGGGACU
rnacentral:rRNA from 1 species